rnacentral:rRNA from 1 species
GAUUGAACGCUGGCGGCAGGCCUAACACAUGCAAGUCGAGCGGAUGAAGGGAGCUUGCUCCCGGAUUCAGCGGCGGACGGGUGAGUAAUGCCUAGGAAUCUGCCUGGUAGUGGGGGACAACGUUUCGAAAGGAACGCUAAUACCGCAUACGUCCUACGGGAGAAAGCAGGGGACCUUCGGGCCUUGCGCUAUCAGAUGAGCCUAGGUCGGAUUAGCUAGUUGGUGGGGUAAAGGCCUACCAAGGCGACGAUCCGUAACUGGUCUGAGAGGAUGAUCAGUCACACUGGAACUGAGACACGGUCCAGACUCCUACGGGAGGCAGCAGUGGGGAAUAUUGGACAAUGGGCGAAAGCCUGAUCCAGCCAUGCCGCGUGUGUGAAGAAGGUCUUCGGAUUGUAAAGCACUUUAAGUUGGGAGGAAGGGCAGUAAGUUAAUACCUUGCUGUUUUGACGUUACCAACAGAAUAAGCACCGGCUAACUUCG